AGACGGAGGGCGCAAGCGUUGUUCGGAAUUACUGGGCGUAAAGGGAGCGCAGGCGGUUUGGUCAGUCUAAAGUGAAAGCCCGGGGCUCAACUCCGGAAGUGCUUUGGAUACUACCAGACUUGAGUACGAGAGAGGUGAGUGGAAUUCCAGGUGUAGCGGUGAAAUGCGUAGAUAUCUGGAGGAACAUCGGUGGCGAAAGCGACUCACUGGCACUGUACUGACGCUGAGGCUCGAAAGCGUGGGGAGCGAACGGUAUUAGAAACCCCAGUAGUCC
rnacentral:rRNA from 1 species